UGGAUAAUUUGGUAUAUAUGGA
rnacentral:siRNA from 1 species